UACAGGGGGUGCAAACGUUGCUCGGAAUCAUUGGGCGUAAAGCGCCCGUAGGCGGUCUGUUAUGUCGGAUGUGAAAGCCCUUGGCUCAACUGAGGAAGUGCAUCCGAAACUGGCAGGCUAGAGUACUAAAGAGGAUCGCGGAAUUCCCAGUGUAGAGGUGAAAUUCGUAGAUAUCGGGAGGAACACCGGUGGCGAAGGCGGCGAUCUGGGUAGAUACUGACGCUGAGGUGCGAAAGCGUGGGGAGCAAACAGG
rnacentral:rRNA from 1 species